GUAAAACCCAUCAAGUUUGGCCUCCAGAUUAACAUCACAAGCUCGGCAGUUAACCCUGUUAAUAACUCCAUAAUGAUUCAUGAAGAAGGGAAACCACAGACUGAAGCAAGAUCCUCAGCUCCUCAUUCCAAUCGAAGUUCAUCCCAUGAAAUCAAACAGCUGAAGCCCUGCACUAAAUAUGAGCUUAAUGUGACACUUGACGAUAAAGACCGACCAACACCCUGCGAACGCAUGACUGUAAAUGAUUCCAUGACAGAUCCAAUAAGUGAAGAUGACAUUGAAGAUGCCAACUGCUACUUUACUGUGUGUUACCAAUCUGGAUGGGACAUCAGCUCUUUACAAACAACUCCAGAUAUGAUCCCAGAUCUGCAAUGUGGCAACAACACUGUCUGUUUCAAACCUGGUUUUGAUGACAUUUGCUCUAAUAUGACUUCACCUUCACCUCCUGCACCAACACUUCCUUUCAGUUCAACAGAGGCAUCACCCACGAUUUUUUAGAUGUCAAAAAUAUAAAUCAAACUGCUCCAACCCAAUUUCCUGUAGAAUUUAAAGCAGAAUUACCUCCACACUGCAACCUCUCCAUUAAUUACACCUGUCAUGUUUUCUAUCCUCGUCGAGGCUACUACCCAGAGAUUCACAGAUUCAAUGAGACUAAGAAUCUAUCUGAGCUGGAGCCGUUCACGGACUACGAGUGUAUCGGUCUCAUCAAGGACAAGAACAAUGUCAACGUAUUCAACACAACUGAA